AAAAACUUAACAAGUCAUACUCAUAUAAUAGCGAGGAUAAGGCUCGCAAGUUUCUACCGGAGAACCGUAAAUUUUCUGACUAUGAGUAUUACGUCGUUCAUG
rnacentral:ncRNA from 2 species